CCUACGGGAGGCAGCAGUGGGGAAUUUUGCGCAAUGGGCGAAAGCCUGACGCAGCAACGCCGCGUGUGUGAUGAAGGUCUUUGGAUUGUAAAGCACUUUCGACCGGGACGAAAACCCGUUGGCUAACAUCCAACGGCUUACUUA
rnacentral:rRNA from 1 species